AAGUAAGCAUAGAUCACCACCGUCAAGGACAAAUGACACUUUGCCAUCUAGCCUCACCUGUCUCAUUCAGGAGAAGGACAUUGUUCAAGGACGGAAAUUGGGUGAUGGGAGCUUUGGUGUUGUAAGAAGUGGAGAAUGGACAACUUCAAAUGGACAGAUAAAAGAGGUUGCUGUCAAAAUACUGAAGCAAGAUGUCAUCCAUGUUC